AUAUAGUAAAUUAUCCAGUGAUGAGUUGUUAGUAGACAGUGUCACUACUCCAGUUCUGUAUCACUGUACCUACCCAUCCUUUUAUGAUGAGAUAAAGAUCCAGCUGCCUACAAGGAUCAGUAGACGUCAUCAUUUAUUAUUCACUUUCAAGCACAUCAGUUGUGAUAUUCAGAAGAUUGCUAAAGGAGGCGGGGCCAGUGGAAGAGGCUCAGUUAAACAUAACAGCAUUGAAACCAUUGUUGGUUAUUCUUGGUUGCCUCUGCUUGGAAGUGAUGGAAGGAUCAAUUCUGAGUCAUUGUUAUUUACCAGUGUUAGCAGCUGC